rnacentral:rRNA from 1 species
GACGAACGCUGGCGGCGUGCUUAACACAUGCAAGUCGAACGGAAAGGCCCUGCUUUUGUGGGGUGCUCGAGUGGCGAACGGGUGAGUAACACGUGAGUAACCUGCCCUUGACUUUGGGAUAACUUCAGGAAACUGGGGCUAAUACCGGAUAGGAGCUCCUGCUGCAUGGUGGGGGAUGGUAAGUUUCGGCGGUUGGGGAUGGACUCGCGGCUUAUCAGCUUGUUGGUGGGGUAGUGGCUUACCAAGGCUGUGACGGGUAGCCGGCCUGAGAGCGUGACCGGGCACAAUGGGACUGCGAGAGGGACCAGUAUCGUAUGGGAGGCAGCGGGGGGGAAUAUUGCGCAAUGGGCGGAAGUCUGAGGUGGCAACGCCGGGUGCGGGAUGACGGCUUUCGGGUGGUAAACAGCUUUGGACUGUGAUGAAGCGUGAGUGACGGUAAUGGGUAAAGAAGCACCGGCUAACUACGUG